rnacentral:rRNA from 1 species
AGCCUUUAUGUCAUCUAUUACCAGUCUUACACAUGCAAGUAUCAGCACGCCCGUGAAAACGCCCUCAACUCCUACCCAGGAACAGGAGCUGGUAUCAGGCACAAUUUUUAAGCCCAUAACACCUAGCCACGCCACGCCCACAAGGGUAUUCAGCAGUGAUAAACAUUGAUUAUAAGCGUCAGCUUGAAUCAGUCAUGGUAAAGAGAGCCGGCAAAUCCGGUGCCAGCCGCCGCGGCUACACCGUUAGGCCCAAGUUGACACACACCGGCGUUAAGCGUGAUUAAAGUGACCCAAUAAUUAGAGCUAAACCAAAAUUUAGUCGUGACGCGCUUAUUUUAUGGAGACCCAAAAACGAAAGUUACUCUAACCCACCCACUUGACCCCACGACAGCUAGGACACAAACUGGGAUUAGGUACCCCACUAUGCCUAGCCGUAAAACAUACACUUACACUACAAAUCGCCGGGGAAUUACGAGCCCAAGCUUAAAACCCAAAGGACUUGACGGUGUCCCACCCACCUAGAGGAGCCUGUUCUAUAAUCGAUUCUCCCCGAUAAACCUCACCUCUUCUAGCUACUCAGCCUGUAUACCUCCGUCGUAAGCCCACCAUGUGAACGAAAUUAGUGGGCCCAAGGAUUACUCAUCAAUACGUCAGGUCAAGGUGCAGCUCACGAAUUGGGAAGAAAUGGGCUACAAUUUCUACAACAGAACAAACGAAAGACUACAUGAAAUAUAGUCACUGAAGGCGGAUUUAGCAGUAAAAAGAAAAUAGAGAGUUCUUUUUAACAAGGCGCUGGGACGCGUACACACCGCCCGUCACCCUCUUCAAAUGC